rnacentral:rRNA from 1 species
UACGAAGGGUGCAAGCGUUACUCGGAAUUACUGGGCGUAAAGCGUGCGUAGGCGGGUCUUUAAGUCAGGGGUGAAAUCCUGGAGCUCAACUCCAGAACUGCCUUUGAUACUGAAGAUCUUGAGUUCGGGAGAGGUGAGUGGAACUGCGAGUGUAGAGGUGAAAUUCGUAGAUAUUCGCAAGAACACCAGUGGCGAAGGCGGCUCACUGGCCCGAUACUGACGCUGAGGCACGAAAGCUAGGGGAGCAAACAGG